rnacentral:rRNA from 1 species
GACGAACGCUGGCGGCGUGCCUAAUACAUGCAAGUCGAACGCAGUUGGGACGGGUGAGUAACACGUGGGUAACCUCCCCUCAGAGGGGAUAACACUUGGAAACAGGUGCUAAACCGAUACUGAUGGAUGGAACCGCGGUGAAUUAGCUAGUUGGUGAGAUAACGGCUCACCAAGGCCACGAUGCAUAGCAGACGUGAGAGGACGAUCAGCCACACUGUGACGGAGACACGGCCCAUACUCCUACGGGAGGCAGCAGUGGGGAAUCUUGGGCAAUGGAGGAAAGUCUGACCGAGCAAAGCCGCGUGAGUGAAGAAGUCUUUCGGAUCGUAAAAUUCUGUUGGUAGAGAAGCGGUAUCUACCCAGAAAGCCACGGCUAACUACGUGCCAGCAGCCGCGGUAAUAC